UCGAAAUGCUGCUGGCAUUAGCUCUUCCCCUUGAAAUUUGGUUCGAGUACACAUUGAGAAAUAUUGAAAUGAGAUCGGUCAUGGACAUCGGUAGGUGGCUCUGGGGAACCAGCACCAAAUGACGGGACCCAUUGCUUGUUGCCACCCCAUCAACGAACGUGUCAAUCCGAGAAGUCACGCUCAAUCACGAUAUUAUUGAAGUAAGAAAACCCGAGGUUACAACAUCAAGACGACAUUCUGACGUGGUCUUACCCGCGACCUCUCAAUUGGAGGUCGGCACGUUUUGAGUCCCAAUCAGUUUGUGGAGCAGAAGAAGAGGAAGAAGUAGAAGAAGGAGGAGGAGGAGAAGAAGAUCCCCGAGGUGAUUCAGUCGACCAUCUCGAGGACCUGCUGGACAGAACCAGAGGCAAAAUGCUAGAAGACAAUUUGAGUGAGUCACUACUAAUACCACUAGCCCAUUGCACCACUUACACGACCACUUCGGAGCGAUCCGAUAUUUGCCGGGGAGCCAUGAUUUGCCAGCUCUCGGACCAUCAUUAAGCCAAGCAGCUAGAUCCAAAUGAUGUCCCGGAGCAAUUUAUGAAACUCUGCUCAACGAAUUGAAUGGUUUCGCAUGGGUUUUCGCAGGAACACAUGUACGCACACUUACUGCCGACAACUCUCUGACUAACUUGUCUGUUCAGUCAUUCAGUCAGUCACUCACUCACUCACUCGCUCACUCGCUGUGCCAGCCAAUCAGUCAGUUCGUCAGUCAUCUGAUGAUGAAAAACUCCAAAACUCCUGGCUGCAUCCUUGUCCCUCCACUGCACUUCGUAGGUAUAAUUUCUGCUUAAAGGUUGGUUAUGUUGCUCUAUGCCUCUCAAGAGCUCUCGAGUGAAUUGUACAGGUGAUUUUCGUCAACACAGCCCACAAACGAAGUGUAAGUAAGGUAAGCUAGAGAGAAGGUAGGAGGAAGCCGGUGUCGGUGGGGCUCUGAACGAAUAUCGACGACUACCACAGCUGGACUAUGUUGUAUCUACGUUCAAUGUAGGCACCUACUGUACUGUACAUAUAUUCUAGCUCGGAGAGCGGGAGGGUUUCCAAUGGAGUGACACACCUUUUUCAAGGGAGGUCAGGGCGGAGAAAUGAAAAGCAAACGCAACAGGUGUACGAGAUGGGGUGUGGGUAUGUGUUUGUCUGUUAGUCGACAAUCGACCCAACCCUCCAUGCCGAUGCAUCCCUCCCCCCUAAAUUCAAUUUUGAACCGCCCGUUCAUUGGUGCUACUGACAUGCCCGUUAGCUGGCUGGAUUCCGAUUAGGAUGGACCUCUUGGGAAGAACGCGAAACCCGAAGCUUUUAAUCCACGACUGAAGUUUGCUGAAGGCAAUGGGAAAAUCCCAAUAUCCAAACCGUAAUUAGACGAACCCAAAGCUUACCUGAUCAGAUCGAUGAACCCUCUGAAGAAAGUAGAUUGGGGGAAAGAGUUUUUUCGAUUGAGUUGGUUCGUGGGGUAAUGGCCGACUUGGAAGGAAGGCCACGGAUGAGAAACACGGAGGAAGGAGCAACGGCAGGCACCCACUGGCACGAAACGAACAGCUCGCUAGCUAGCUCGAUAGCUCGCUGGAUAGCUAGCUAGGUAGGUAGCUCGUGAGCGGCCAGGGGGAGGGCUUCGAUGGCCUUCGUUUGAAGGGAACAACUCCUCGGUGGGUGUCAGGUAUGAUAAUUGAGUCUGGUGCCACUCGAGCUCCCACUCAACGGAAAGGGACGGCUCUCCUUUAUGGGCUGAACACUCAGGUAGGAUCUCAGGACGUCUUCACUGCCACGGUCCGAACUUGAAAAGGACAGUCCUUUUGUUUUCUUGGCCUUCGGUCAAUGCGACCCAAAUGCCCGGCACCAUCAAGAUGCACCACCACUACUUGCUACCGCCAUCCAUUAUCCGCAAUCCGCUAUCCACCUUCCAGACAUUUGACGGCGUCAACGAAAAGCUCAGAAACGAAAGCCAAGCCAGAGCCCAUGCCAUUCGUCUGUCUGUCUUGUGCCUCAAUUCCGUUCAAGAGUCAUUGCCACAUUUGAACCCUUGACAGACGCGUGGCCGUAAGAUCGACCAAAAUUAUAUAUAAAGAAAAAACCAGAUACGGCGAGGUAGCCACACGCUCCGCACCACUGCAAUGUGGGACACGAUAUUCGAAUCAUCAGGAUCUAAAUUCUCGUUUCAAGCCGGCAUCAGGUACAUGCAAGCCGGGCUUUCACCCUUCCAGUGAAGAGCGAGAGGCUGUUUCCUGGCUUCGGGCGAACGUCUUUUUCGUCGUUUGGUGUGUUCCAAGUCGCCCUUCAUCCCAGUCCAUAAAGCUGCGCUCGAAUCCUUAGCUUCAAUCUCUCUUUACGUUCUUACCGUUAUUACACACCGUCUUUCUCCUUCUCUCCCUUUCUCUCUCGUUCUCCCACGUAGCUGGCGGUUUUGUUAUUUUAUUAGAAACAAUUGUAACCGUAGGAGGAAGAGGCGGAGAAGGAGGAAGGUACAAUAGUAUACGACUGUUGUUAAAGGAGAAGGAAGAAGAAGAAGAAGAAAGAGAAGCAAUACAAGGUGAAUGAGAUCGAAAGACUUGUCGUUACCCAGGUAUUCUUUGAUUAUACGUAAUAAAUGUUGUUCCAAAUUUGAACCACCGCUACCACUACUCCAACCUGCCAGAGAAAAGGAACUACUCGGGCUAUUGAAGGCCAGUUUCUCUAGCCAACCCUGCCACAGUCUGUCAUGUAUGUACUAAAUACUACUACUACUACUACUACCACGCACGGGAGCUAACUAAUCCACUGAACUUAGUGAGUAGUACACACACCCAGGCACACAUCACUUUCACCGCCUUCAGUCAGACCAAGACCAAUAUGCUCGAAAGCGAGAAGGAAAACCAGAGGCCAGGUGAAUGAUGCAUCAUUAACGUAGAUAGGUAUUAGACAAUACAUGCACCCAACCGAAGCAGGGAUUGGAUGGUUUUGUUUGUUUUGUUUGUUACGAAGUCAGAGGGAUUGGAUUAUCGCUAUGACUUUCGGUAUGAAACAGCCACCGUCAUCACCACCACCACAAUUCUUGGGAUUGAGCGGAAAAUGCUAAUGAGACAGUUCCUGAAGAAUAGACAUGGGGAGAAAAUGAGAGAGUGGACAAGGAAACCAGAAAAAGAAUGGCCAUUCAUUCUCCUCCUGAUCCAUAUGAAGAAGUACGACAGGGAUAGCUUUUGUAGCACUCAUUCGAUAUGACUUGCAAACUGCAUCGAAAACCAAGUUCGGAUGCAUGUAAACUGAUCAAUGGCUCAAAAAAAUGGAACAGGCAUCACUAAGACGACGAUCAAAAGCCGAGCUGUUCUCAUCAGUGGGCGGUCCAGUAGUCCACGACAAACGAAUAUCCAAUACGAAGGCGGCGUCUUCGUGUGGAACUUGUAUGGCAAAACCAUUUCUCUCAAGCGGAAGACAGACGUAACUCUUACUUAAAAGGCUUGGGUUUUUCGUAUGAUUUCUCAGACAACCUGACACGACCCACUCAUGCUAUAAUUUAGAAGAAGUUGUGGAUUUUUUUGAGUACACUUUUUUUGCCAUGAACCAUCCUGUGUCGCUCUUUCAGCAUAAACGACUACGACUACCAAACUUGGUGGAAGAAAAGGGCAAUGAUAUAUCUACGAAGAUACAACAUUUCUAAUGAGUCAAGGGACUUCACGAGAAGGUAUGGCAUGUUUUUAUCCCCAAGAAAUUUGUUGCUUGAGAUAAUUGCUUGUCUUUCCUUUUUUCUUAAUUCGUACAUUUCCUCCAAAAUUCAAUACCCAAUAAAUAGUAUUGCUGAUUA